rnacentral:rRNA from 1 species
GACUAACGCUGGCGGCGUGCUUAACACAUGCAAGUCGAACGAAGUGACGAACGGGUGAGUAACGCGUAAUCAACCUGCCCUUCAGAGGGGGACAACAGUUGGAAACGACUGCUAAUACUGCAUACUGAAGGAGGGGAUUGCGUCUGAUUCGCUAGUUGGAGGGGUAACGGCCCACCAAGGCGAUGUUCAGUAGCCGGUCUGAGAUGAUGAACGGCCACAUUGGGACUGAGACACGGCCCAGACUCCUACGGGAGGCAGCAGUGGGGAAUCUUCCGCAAUGGACGAAAGUCUGACGGAGCAACGCCGCGUGAGUGAUGACGGCCUCCGGGUUGUAAAGCUCUGUUAAUCGGGACGCGGCACCGGAAUAGAAAGCCACGGCUAACUACGUGCCAGCCGCCGCGGUAAUUC